rnacentral:lncRNA from 1 species
AUGGUUGAUACUUAAGACAGAGCUAGUAAGUAAGAAAUCCUAGUCAUGGGCCAGUAGUAUUGUAACUAAUGUAAGACUCUUUGUGUGUAUUUGGGGGCCCUAAUGUGGCAUCGGAAUUCAGGCAGCUGUCAGAAAGAGUUAUCGUUACAGGGUGGUGUUUUGUUUUGUUCUGCAAAAACAAGGCCUAAAAAGUUCCACCAGUGUUGAUGACUUCAUGCCUCUGCUGGAAGUCAUCAUUCAAAGAAUGCAUGUGUGCCUGUGCAGACCUCACUAGGAGAAGGACAUCACCAAACUAGUAUCAUGAGAUAAUAACAAAGGGAAGGAAGAGUCAAACAAUACCUCUUGGUGUUUGAAGGUUGUCCUGUCAAGGUUGAAAUCAGAGCUAACAACAUCCAUAGGUCAUCCCAUGUGAUCUUUUACAGGUAUUCUAGGAUGGGUAAAGGACAAGACUUUGCUUCCCUCUCCAUCAGAUGUAGUGAUGGUUGCUGUUGUAAAUUUAAGAAAAGCAGCAUGAGACAGAAAGACCAUUCCACAGGAUUCAAGCAGAGGGGCUUUUUAUUAGGGGAAAAGGAUUGUAAAAAGGGAAAAGGGGAGGGGAAAGACCAGCCUCCAGGGACCGAAGAAACAGGAGAGAGGAAAGGAGAGAGAGAGACAGAGACAGAGACACAGAGAGAGACAGAGACAGAGACAUAGAGAGACAGAGGAGAGAAAGCACAGGUGGUCCUCUUAGUGGCAGCAGUUGAGGGUGUAUCUUGUCAAAACUCCAAAGGCAGGCCAGUAAAAUUCCUAAAUACUAAUAGUUGCUACUGGCAUUACAAUUACCAUGCAAUUCUCAAGAAUUAGAGGUUCUAGGAGAAUUGGAUGCUGAGACUUUACUAAUGAAUCCAAAAAGCAUUCAUUAAGAUCCUGUCAUUUUUUAAAUGAGUAACAACUUCCUAAUUUUAUUAUGACAAACCAGUCCAGAUGAAAGUGCUUUGUACAUCUAAGACCUUUUGACCUUGGAGUGCUCUUUGCUCUUCUGCAUCAUCUCUACUGGGGCCAGCACCAAAGAGCCAUUUCCAUCCAAACACCAGGUCUUAAAUCACACUCAUUUCCAGAGCCUUCAUCUAGUAGCUGAUGGAAGCAGAAGCAGAGACCCACAGCUAAAUACUGAGCUGAACUCUGGAAUCCAGUUGCAGAGAGGGAGGAAUGAUGAGCAAUGGGGUCAAGACCAGGCUGGAGAAACCCACAGAAACAGCUGACCUGAACAAGGGGGAGCUCAUGGACCCCAGACUGAUAGCUGGCAAACCAGCAUAGGACUGUUCCAGACCCCCUGAACCUGGAUGUCAGUUUAGAGGUCUGGGCAAACUACGGGGCCUCUGGUAGUAGAUCAGUAUGUAUCCCUAGUACAGGAAUGUACUUUGGGAGCCCACUCUACAUAGAAAGAUACUCUCUCAGCUUAGACACACAUGCAAAGGUCUAGGCCCUGCUCCAAAUGAUAUGACAGACUUUGAAGAUACCCCGUGGAAGGCCUCAUCCUCCCUGUAGAGCAGAAAGGGAAUGGGAUAGGGGAUCGGUGGGGGGCAGAAGAGGAGGGGAGGGAGAGGGAACUGGGAUUGACAUGUAGAACAAGCUUGUUUCUAAUUUAAAAUUAUAUAUUAUAUUAUAUCAUAUCAUAUUAUAUUAUAUCUGGCAUUGGAAAACUAGAAAAAAAAAAAAAACACCAAUGUGGAAAUGGCAUACAGGCUGCUGAAGAGCACCUAGCUUCAAAGUUUACUAUAAUAUUUUGAAACACUUUGCCAAAGAGCAAACAAUUGAUGUAAAGUCUUGCCAGCACUAUGCUAGCAAUAAUGGAUGAGACAGUAACACAGCCAUUUUCAAGGAAACUCCAUGUUAGUAAAGCAUCCACAUAACACAUAGUAAUGCCAGAUGAACCAGUGUGGGUGUGGUCGGUCCACAAGAACCUAUGUGGAUGCUGUGCGUUACUUUUAUUACUAUUGUUGGUUUGCGGUUGUUUUUUUUUUUUUUCAUUUCUUCCCAAGAGGGUAGCUUUGAUCUCAUCAUCUUUGAUGCUCUGACAUUCAUAUGUACUUGUUAUCUAUCUCUGGCACAUUUGCAUGAUCAUUAAUAAACCAGUCAAUCAACCUUCAUUUACUUUUGAAAAUACAAUAAGUAUAAUUGACUAAAUUAUAAUCCUGGCUAAACUGAUUCAUGGGGUCAGCCUCUGUCCUCCUUGUGAACAUUACAUUUUUCCAUUUAUCUGUCUUUCAAAAAGCAUUAUUCAAGUUGAGCACUGGGCUGGGCAUUAAGAGAGACAGAGAGUGAGAGAGAGAGAGAGAGAGAGAGAGAGACAGAGACAGAGACAGAGACAGAGACAGAGAGACAGAGACACACGGAGAGAAGGAGAGAGGCAGAGAGAGCAGAGACACUGCCAAUAUGGAGUUUCUUGUCUAGCUGGGGAGACUCAAAGUUAAAGGAAUGAAGAGUGCGAUUUUGUGCCAAAUGGCGCGAUAAGGGAUCGGAGUAUGCACAGUAAGGGGGUGUUUAGAGAAGCGUCACAAAGGGUGCCAAGAGAACAUUUGUCCUGAGAUGUUACGACUAAAUAUCAGAAGGUCAGGAAAAAUGAAAAGAAUUGAGGACCACAAAGAACAAAACAAUUGACUUAACCGGGAGAAGAAAGAAUGAGACAUUAAAAAAGUUUCAGAGACAGAUGGCUGGUGUGGAGAGAGCGUGCAGAGGGGGUAAAAACUCUCACUGGAGACAGACGCACACGAGGACAAUCUCUACUUCUGUUGUACAUCUUCUGUCUAGAGUCCUCUGCUACGGCCAUUUAUAGUUUUCAUAUGCAGGAGAGGGUAACUAAGC